rnacentral:rRNA from 1 species
GAUGAACGCUGGCGGCGUGCCUAAUACAUGCAAGUCGAGCGAACGGACGAGAAGCUUGCUUCUCUGAUGUUAGCGGCGGACGGGUGAGUAACACGUGGAUAACCUACCUAUAAGACUGGGAUAACUUCGGGAAACCGGAGCUAAUACCGGAUAAUAUUUUGAACCGCAUGGUUCAAAAGUGAAAGACGGUCUUGCUGUCACUUAUAGAUGGAUCCGCGCUGCAUUAGCUAGUUGGUAAGGUAACGGCUUACCAAGGCAACGAUGCAUAGCCGACCUGAGAGGGUGAUCGGCCACACUGGAACUGAGACACGGUCCAGACUCCUACGGGAGGCAGCAGUAGGGAAUCUUCCGCAAUGGGCGAAAGCCUGACGGAGCAGCGCCGCGUGAGUGAUGAAGGUCUUCGGAUCGUAAAACUCUGUUAUUGGGGAAGAACAUAUGUGUAAGUAACUGUGCACAUCUUGACGGUACCUAAUCAGAAAGCCACGGCUAACUACGUG